GCGCCACGGCGCCUGCGGCUGAACGGUAGCCACAGCAGCGGCGGCAGUAGCAGCAGCGGCAGCGGUCUCUUCCCCAACGUCGGCCCCACAGGUGCCCGAAAGCCGGCACAGGCGUGUAGAGAACAUGGCAGACGACGUUGAUACAGAAGCAAUGCUUGAGGCUCCUUACAAAAAGGUCCAAGUUCUGUUCCAGUUGGGCUCCACAUGCACUUCGCACUGCCUGGAACCGUGUCUGGCACACAGCAGACAAAAUAAUGCACAAACACUGCAAGCCUAGAGAAGAACAUUGUUUUCACAUUCAUACAGACAUGGCUAGCUCAUGGAGGGUAAGUGCAAUUUCACAUGAAUUUUUAAGAUGAACCUUCAGGGCAAAUUGCCUCAGUGGGUAUGUUUGUAGAACAUGGUCACUCUUCUGGGAGAGCUUAUGGGACACCAGCACCAGACCAAACCAGUAAAGAAAAAGUGGCUCCACUCCAUCCCCAUUAUCUCACUGCUGGGCACCCCUCUGGCCAGCCCAUCUGCUUCCUAUGGGGAUGUUGGGAAGUGUGGAGGCCAGAACCAGAUUGGGCGUCCAGGCACACACGACCCCACCAGCAGUCCUGCCCUGACCCUCUCGGUUGAGCUGGGAAAGGUUGGAAUUUCCUGAAGGUUUUCUAGAGAAGUGAAAUUAAGAAGAGAGAGAACAGCUGGCCCCAGAACCCUAACCAGUACAGGAACUAUCUUUAGCCUGGAGAGACCUGGUUGGGGCAGAUGACAUCUCGUGAGACAAAAGUCAGCUCUGAGCUUGCAGAGCAUGAGGGAGGCUGUUGGGGGGACAGGGAAGAAAUGUGUUGUUUUUGCCACUGAAAGGAAUGGAGAGAAAUCUGGGGAUGAUGGGGAGAGGGAACCAAAGAGAUGGGAAGGUCAGGAUGAAAUGAAAUCUAGCCUGGAAGGGUCACCAAA